CUGAGAUUAAACACUGCUAUGCUGUUGCUUCUAGACUUGCAUGUUUUUGCUAUCCUACCUGUGUCAAUGUUAGUGGCUUUUUGGAGUCAAAUAGGUGGGGUGUGGGACAGGAUGCCUUGCUGAUACCUGGAGCGGUGGUGUUCUGCAGGAAGGACAGGAGGAACACAGCUGCUCCAAGACAUGCUUUUGGCACAGCAAAGGAACUAAUGAACGAGAUGCUUAUGAGCUUAUGCAAUGGAGA
rnacentral:lncRNA from 1 species